CAUUCAGGGAAAACUGAGCAUGUUCUCUUGUUAAAGGUACAACUCGAGUUGGAGCCUGGGUUUUUGCAGUAGUAGGGGGCGUGGGAAUGGUAGUUGUUGGCAUUGUAAUCUACAUCAUUGACAACRGUUUCAGACUCUUCUAAUCUAGUCAAGCUCUUGAGUUGUGCUUGUGUGCAACACUAAAAAUAAAAUWCUGCAACCCGA